UCUCAUAGAAAUUGUCAUAACAAACCUUCUCUCAUAACAAUAGAAGCCCUAGGUCUUAUUUAUAGAAUCAAGAAUCCCAAUCACAUUAGGACUUUAGAACCUAGUUCAAUCCUAAUACUAAAUUAAAACAAAAUUAACUAGGAGAUAAUAAAAUUCUUAAAUAAUAGAUCUAAUAAGAUAAAAAUUUCUAAAUAAUAAAACUCUUAAAUUUUCUAAUGUUAUAUAGAAUAUAAUUCCUAAAUUGUACUAGGAUCUUCAUCUUCCCAAAUUGAUGUAGAACAAAGAAGAACAAGGAACAAAUCUUUAGAAAAAAGAGAACUAAUUCUCAAUUG
rnacentral:misc_RNA from 1 species